rnacentral:lncRNA from 1 species
UGGGUGGUUUUUGGUUUGGUUGGGUUUGGGUUUUUUUGGGGCUGUUGGUUGGUGGGGGGGUUGUUUUAUUUUUGUUGUUGUUCGGGGGGUAUUUUUUGAGGUGCUAAGUAACAACCCUUCUGCUAUUUGAAACACCAAGCCUGGCCUGCUGCCUGGAUGUGUGGCUGGAGAGCUCUGAAUCUCAGAAGAGAUCCUGCUCAGGUUUGGCAGACUUUUAGGGCUCCAGCUGAUCCCAGUAGGCAAGGGGGAAGCAUGUGUUACUGAAAGGCUAAGCCUGCUGAAGUUGAUCCAUUCCUGCCAGCUUCUCAAAUCUUGGUUCCCAGGCAAGUUUGGGUUAGGAAAGGAUUUUCAAAGAGCAAUUGCUUGACUUCCAGUUACAUUGUAAUUUAAGGGGUAGAAUACUCUAUUUACAAGAGGCAAAGUUGGUUUAUUUAAAUCUUUGCUCUAUGUGCAUUAAUUAUUGUGCUAAUACCAGUACGAGCUGGUGUGCAGAGACCACUGCAACCAUGGGACCUUCAGAAGCAUGCACUAUCUGCUCAUUGAGUCUGGAAUCAGUGGGCACGGGGCUAUAAGGCAGUCACCAAACAUGGCCACAGUGUUACAUGAUUGCUAGCAGGGCCCUAAAGACCAGCAACUUGUAAAGGAUGCCUGUAUUUUAAUAACUCUUCCUUGCAGCUCUGUGCUCCCUCUUGCCUCUCUCCAGUAGAGAGAGCAUAGACUGAGCCAUUUGACAAAAUGACUACCCUACCUGCACAGCCAGAGGACUUAACAUGUAAUUUAAAAGUAGGAAUUCAAGCCUGGUUCCCUCCCCCCAAAAAAACUGAUAGCAUAAGAGCUGGGCUGCCUGGUGAAACUGAGGUAUUGCCUCAGAUGAACCCUCUGGCCUCUUUAAAGGCUAAUUCCCACAGUGCUCCUCAGUCUGGUCUCUUCAAUGAACCUGCAUGAUGCCUGUAGGGCAGCACUGUAUUUGAGGGGCCUCUGUAGAAAGAGCAGGCUUGCAGGAUUAGAAGCUAGUGGUGGAUUCAGGAAUGGCCUUGUAGGAAGUCUUGGCUUUACAGACUUGGUUUUCCUGUUAGAUUCCAGUAAAAUGGCACAGCUGGUCAGAUGCUGCUCUGAAGGGAGGAGCGGCGUUGGGGACACACAGAGACUGCCACUCAGCCCACCCCGAGAGGAAGCUGUCCUUCCAACAGGCACUUCUGCACUGGGCAAUGAGUCCCUGGCACCCUUCUACAUGCUGCUGUGUCCCAUAAAGCUUAAAUUUAUUUCAGCUGGAGAAGGUCUCCAGAAAGCAAUGAUAAUUUAAAAGCUUCAAUGUUUCAAGUAAUGGUGUUCCUGACCCAGAGAGGAGGAGGAAGAAUUUCCAAAUCUCUAUUGUUUACAUUGCCAAGAUGCUAACAAUAAUUUUCAUCUGUGGCUUGACUUUUCUGAGUAUAUUUCAGAUUUGGGAGCAAAGCUGUACAUAGCUGAGCACAGAAAGGUCCGUGCACCCUUCUCUACUUCCCCCUUCUCUCUUUCCCUUCCAAUGCUCAAAUCGGGGUUGCUCUGUUGACAACUACAGGAUGCAGGUUGCACAAAGUAACCGUGGGGUUCUUGGGUUUGUGUCCACUGGUGUUCCCAUUUUGCCUUUCUGAAACAGAAACAUCCAGUGAAUAUGAGAGACUAGAAAGUUUCUCUGUAUUUAACCCAUGGGCUGAGUUGGGAAGACGGAAGAUGAGGCUGAGCCUGGUUCUCUUUUAGUCUUGAUUAUGGGCAAAUUAUCUCUUUCCCAAGACACCUGGUUGGCUUAUUAUUUGGGAGUCUUUUAACUGACUGCAGAUAGAAGAAUUUGCUGCUGUACUUCUUACAAAAAGACUGCAUGAUGUAGCCUGUAUGACUAC